ACGUAGGGUGCGAGCGUUAAUCGGAAUUACUGGGCGUAAAGCGUGCGUAGGCGGCAGGGUAAGUUAGAUGUGAAAUACCGGGGCUUAACCUCGGAAUUGCAUUUAAGACUGCCUUGCUUGAGCAUUAGAGAGGAGACUGGAAUUUACGGUGUAGCAGUGAAAUGCGUAGAUAUCGUAAGGAAGACCAGUGGCGAAAGCGAGUCUCUGGCUAAAUGCUGACGCUGAGGCACGAAAGCUGGGGGAGCAAACGGGA
rnacentral:rRNA from 1 species